GGCGCGGAUCCGGGGCCAAACCCUCCAGGGCUGCGCUGCAGACAGCGACGGCCAGAGGCGGAUACAGUCGGGUUUAGGGACCGCAGGAGCGAAUUCCCGGAGGCCUGCAGGAGCCGCCCCGCGCCGCGUCCAGCCUUUCUCUCUGGGCCUAGCGGGUCUCCCCCAGGCGCGCCCCUCCCUCCCCACAGGCGCACUUUCUCCACCUGCAUCUGGGGCGAGGCGCGGCUGGGAGCGAAGCACAAGUGGGCUGGGCGAGGUUUGGGGUUCGAGGAUUGCAGAGUGACCGCGGGGUCUGGGGAAGAGUUGUCUUGGUGGCGCCACCAGAGCCCGACCCGCCGCGGCCGGGACCCUGCAGGGCAGGUAGCGACCUGCGGAGAAGCCGCCUGGCGCGGCCGACUCGGCUGCCGGGGCGUGGGCCUGGGCCGGGCGCAGGAGCAGCGGGGAUGCUGGGUGCGCUCCGAGGGUGCGGCCUCCCGGCUGUGCGGGGCUCAGAGCCGGGUGCUGGGCGCGGGGCCUGGCAAAGAAAUCGUUCGACACAGCCGGAAUCCCAGGAAAAUCUACCUUUCUGGAGACUGCAGCUCCUGUGAUAGCUCAACAGACUUCAGUUCCUCACAAAUAUUGCUCUCUACGGUUUCCCCCAAAACACUUCAGGAAAUACAGUGUCCUGUCUUCACAAAUGCUUCUGAGCACUAUCUGGAUUUGUGUCUGCCACUCUGAUUGUGUACCUUCUGCAAACAGUUGCUGACUGGCUGUUUCUGCAUCCCCAGCAGAGGACUGGCAGCUUGUUAGAGCUCAUUAAAUAUUUGUCAAUUUGAAUUAAAUUUGAAAUAUUGUAUUAAAAAUCUUGCACCAACCUCCAGGGGCCUUAGCAGUGAUUUUUGUUCUUACUAUGGCAAUGUAGGUGCAUUGCACACUUAUUAAGUAUCUUGAUGCUUUCCUCCCUCUAAAUGGAACUCCAAACUUUUAUACAGUGUUAUGCUCUGCUGAGUUUCACGUAAGGACGUUGCUGCCUGCUCUUGGCAUUGAGACUUCAGGAUCAAUAUGAGGUGUUACUUCCCUAGAAGAAAGAAAUACUACUGAGUGAUUUCACAUUGCUCAGGAUCUGAACUUUUCAACUUUUAACAGAUUUUUCAUUGACUGAUAAUAGUAUACAUUUAUGAAUUCCAGUACAAUGUUAUGAUACAUGUAUACAUUGUAGGGUAACUAAAUCAGGAUAACUAAUAUAUUCAUCCCCUCACAUACUUAUUUCCAUUACCAAAAAGACGAAAGAUAUCAAGUGUUGGCAAGGAUGUGAAGGAAAGGUGACAUUUGUGCACUCCUAGCGGUAAUGCAUUUUAGAAAGAUUUGUGAAAUGGACACAACUUUAGCUUUUGAAUCCAGUAAUUAACUCUUGUGCUGUGGUACCUUGUGACAGGAAGUAAUAAAGUAAGAUUUGACAAACACAACCAACUCCCAGGAUCUCUAAGUCAGAACCUCAGUCCUUAUCUUGCCUGCAUGGCUCAUGCUUUUCAUGAUCAUCACCAGUUCAGAGACUGCAAGAUGACAGAUUUCAGUCGUGAAAUCAGUGAAUUUGUUGGUGCUGCUGCUUGGCAGAUACUCAGCAUCCUGCUCUAGACUUGGAUUUCCUUAUCAGCGAUUCUCCUUUAGGAUUUGUGUGGAAGAAAUUGGUAGCAAAAAAGAAAGGCAUUGCGAUCCUCCAACUUCCUGAAAUCCAUCCCUCUGGAAUAUCUUCCUCCUUAAAUAUGAAAUAAAUGUUUAAACGUAAGUUCUACUAAGGCACAAAGAAAUUCUUUAGCAUCUGAGUUUUCUUGAGGAUUUGUAUGCUGCACAUCUCAGCUCCACUCAUCUUCAAGAACUAUAGUUUUAUUUUAUUUCAUUUGUUUUCACUGUCUAGAAAUAGAAGGCAGUUAGUCUUAAAGGUAAUAGUGAUUUGACAGCCUUGUAAUUUUUCAGGUCUGCGGGUCCUAGAUGUUUCUUGCCAGGGUUCAACCUGAAACUGGAAGAGAGGUGGAAUAUCGUCUCACUAAAGAGGUUUUCUGGGGUACUUAUCCAAGGCUUCUUAAUGCAAUUGUCAAUGCAAAUAUCCAUAUUUCUUUUUUUUUUCUGGUCUGGUCUUACUGCUGCUUGGCAAUAUUUUGAAGUUUUAGUUGGUCAACUUCUCCCCCUUGAUGUUUGUUAGCCACUUAUGAUUAUGUGCUGGAAUGAAGGGGGAAAGGACGAUAUUUGUGACUUGAUUAGAAAUGAAACUAGGUGGAUAUUUGCAAAGUUUCUUGUAGCAUAAAUUCAAUAACUCAAUUUUAUCAGCUUUAUGCUAUAGAAAAAAACAAUAAAGAGUUAGGGCUGGAUCGCACAGCUAAAACCCGUGAUCAUACACAAUGUUUUCAUCACUGAGUAGGUUAAUAACGACCUGAAUAAAAUUUGCUGACAAUAAGAACUACAGACCACAGGAACAGAACCAAGAUUUGUUCAUUUGCUCUUUGUAGGUACAUUUCCC
ensembl:lncRNA